rnacentral:rRNA from 1 species
GUAACACGUAGUCAACCUGCCUUUUGGAAGAGUUAAUCCCGGGAAACUGGGGCUAAUGCUUUAUAGCUAUAGAUUUCUAGAAGGAUUUUUUGGCAAAAUCAAGGCCCUGCUUGCAGGGUUUUUGGCCAAAGGAUGGGACUGCGUCUGAUUAGGUUGUUGGCGGGGUAACUGCCCACCAAGCCUUUGAUCAGUACGGGCAAUGAGAGUUGGAGCCCGGAGAAGGGCACUGAGAUAAGGGCCCUAGCCCUACGGGGUGCAGCAGGCGCGAAACCUUAGCAAUGCGCGAAAGCGUGACUGGGUAACUUCGAGUGCAAGCUUUGCUUGCUUUUGCCAGGCUUUGAAAUCGCUUGGCGAAUAAGUGGGGGGUAAGAUACGUGCCAGCCGCCGCGGUAAUACGUACUCCACUAGUGGUGUCCUCUUAUAUUGGGCCUAAAACGUUUGUAGCAGGUCGUAUAAGUCUCUGGUGAAAUCCAAGGGCUCAACUUUUGGAAUUGCUGGAGAUACUGUAUGGCUAGAGGCAAAGAGAAUCACAGGGUAUUCUCGGAGUAACGGUGAAAUGUUAUGAUCCCGAGAGGACCUCCAGUAGCGAAGGCGCUGUGAUAGAAUUGUCCUGACUGUGAGAAACGAAAGCUGGGGGAGCGACCCGGAUUAGAUACCCGGUUAGUCCCAGCCGUAAACGAUGUAGACUAGGUGUCGCAACGCCUACAGGGUUUUGCGGUGCCGACGCGAAGGCAUUAAGUCUACUGCCUGG